CUCGCCUGAAACCAAUUCGGAUGAACAAGACUGUCCACCAUCAGAAAUAGUUCAGCUGUUAAUAAUUCAGGGGUUGGCAGAAUGGAGACCUAAGAAAACAUUUCCUCCCUCUGCUUUGCCACAACCUUGCUUUCAGAGUGGUGUGAGUUUCUUUCUAAUGUGUAGCUCAAAUCUUUCUUUGCUGCUGUCUUUACCCUGUUAUCAGUUAACUUUGCACCUCUCCCAUGUUAUGAUCAGCCCUUCCUGAUGGGACACAGCAUUCACAUGUAACAUCAAAAACCCAUGGACAGCAUUGCUGAUGUCUGUUUUUCCCUUUGGCUUGCUGUCUUUUACCUAACUAUAAAAGGAAAACAGAUGGGAGUUUUUAAGAGCAGGUUGUGUUUGCUGCUACCUGCCUCAUGUCACCUAUCCGGGAGCUUUCCAGCAGUCUGUUGUUCCACUUACUCUGGUGUGGGAAAGGCACCUUCUGCUGACUCAUCGGUGGAAGAUAAAUGAACUCUUGAUUCCAGCAGUUCACUCUGAUCCUGUUCUUCACGCAGUGGCUUUGCCUGGAUGUCCCUAUAGAGCACCUCCACAUGUGAGACUGUGCCCAGACAGCAGACCCAAAUGCACAGGCCCUGGCAGUCUGCUUUCUGGCCCUGAAGCAAGCCAGAUACCUCCCUGUAAUUUCACAGUUAAGUGGAAGUUAAUCUGGUUGGAAGAAAUCAGCAAACCAAAAAGGGUUACCAAGCCCAAAGAAUGGAAAACAAAAAUAAAACAAACAAACAAAGAAAAAAAUCCAAACGGAACCAACACAGGCUACAGAAAUGUUACAGGUAGAGGCGAUUUUUAUCAGAGGAUCUUAUCCAUUAAAAUGUCGAUGGUGUUGCAGACAUCCGUCCAGGAGCCUUUAGCAGCAAUCCCGUUGCCAACGAGAGACAUUCUUACCUUGGAGAGAAUUUCAGGCAGCCGCGACCAUCCCCGCCACCAGCUGUGGCUGAGAAUGGAUGUUUAGUAACUCAUCUCCAUGCCUGUUUGAAAAACAGCAUGGGCUGUGGCGGGGCCAGCGGGUUUGACUCUUCAUCUUGCGGAAUCAGACUCCCACUGGCAGCAUAUCUGAUAGAUUGCCAACAGAAGUGGAAUCAGCCCACUGAACGAUGCUCUCUGCAUCUCAUUUGAAUUCCAAAAGGCCUGCUUUUUCCCAUUAAUGUCAGUCGGGAAUAUCAGGGUGGCUCUGAAGUGUAGGAUGAUUACAAAGAAUAGUCACAAAAUAUCUUUCAGUCAAAAGGACCAUUACAAACAAAAUAGUCGGGAGUUACAGUCUAGCCUGUACCACCAUGUUCUUUAAAUUCCCAAUGAAGCUGUAGAAGCAGAUGGGGAUUCUCAACUCUCAUUUACUACGUCUGUGCCACAGUUCUACUGAAAAUUAAUAGUUUCAAAAUUGCCAGUAGCUUUGUCCUGUUAUAUAAAGUAUUUAACGUGCACAGGGUUUGCUCUUUGGGGAACAGACUUACCAGAUUCAGGAAAUAAAAGAUAAAGGAGCCACAUAUUGGAAAUUAAGAAUGUAUUAUUAAUAAUAUUAAUAUAUUAAUAUAUUAUAUAAUCAUUAAGUUUUGAAAAGACCUCUAAGAUCAUCCAGACCAACGACCAACCCAUCCCCACUCUGCCCACUGACCACGAACCUCAGUGCCACAUCUCCAUGUUCCUUGAACACCUCCAGGGACAGUGACUCCAUCACCUCCCUGGGCAGCCUGUGCCAGUGCCUCACCACUCUUUCUGAGAAUACAUUUUUCCUAAUAUCCACCCUAAAAGAAGACUUAAAUUCAAAUGCUUAGAUCAUACCGUAGUAAACCAGAAAUAAAUAACAUUCAUAGAAUCGCUAAGGUUGGAAAAGACCCACAGGAUCACCCAGUCCAACCAUUCGCCCAUCACCAAUGGUUCUCGCUAAACCAUGUCCCUCAACACAACAUCCAAACGCUCUUUGAACACCAAUUCCUAGUGGAGUUGAGCUCCUAAAAUUAUCUUUUAUGGGCCUAUCUGACUUGGAAAGAAAAAUCUACAGCAGAGGUAGGAACAGAUUCCUCUUUGAUUUCAGUCCAAGGUCUGAAGUGUUUGGCAGCACAAGCCUACAGAGCAAGAAGUAUCUGAUACUUGUUUGGUCAGAAAAGCCCAUUCUUUCCUUCAGAGCCCACAGUACAUGUUUAAGCAUUAGCCCUUGGUGUUCCCACCUGAUGCUAGAGCAGGACAAAGCAGGGGCUUUAACUGUGGCAUGGAAGCAGGGGGGAUGUCCAUGAGCCAGCCCAGAUGGACCAUCUGCUCCAAAGACAUGGCGAGGGGUCAAGCCAGCACACCUCAGCUUUCUAAAUUGAGCACAGAUCAGUUGUUUGCAGGGGUGGGGAGUACUGCAGACAAAAUGAUUAUUGCUUUCAGUAGCCGAGACAAUAAAGGGAUGAAAUUCAGCGAGGAAAGCACACAGGAGACCCAAAAUGACAUAAAACAAUUACCAUUGACCACAGCUUUUGAAGUAAUCAUAUCUAUUCUGCAUCAUGUUAAUACAAGGAAAUCUCAGCAGCUGGUAUUGGGCCCUCACUCAUUACGACAUAUCAACCUGAAAGUUCCCAUAAGUAUGAGCAACCCCUUGGUCAUGGGCACAGAGCCAUUAACCCUUUCCCCUCAAACUGUAAGAAAAUUCUCAUGGCUUGGUUUCACAGCAGAGCAACAGUCAGCAAUAAAAAAUACUCAUUUCCCGAAGUGAAAAAAGCUCAAGGGAGUUAGAAACAGUAAUCAAUAUACUCAGAAAGGCUCAUUUAAAUUAAUAUACAUGGCUUCUAAUUGGACUGCAAGUUAAUCUAUUUGAGCACUUCUCUAACCCCUAAAAAUAAGUAUGCUUGCAAUAUUCAAAAGAACAAAAUUCAUAAUCCAUUGAAUGCACAUCUUCAGACCCCGCUACAAUUCAGCUACAACCAUCUACCCUCUGCUUUGCCAUUUUAUUAUUAGUAUCCAUGUCAAUUUUGUUUGGAUACGUGAUUUCAAUGCUCCUGAGAAGGGCAUUGCCAGCUCGUGAAAUCUGUUGCUUACUCAGAGAAGAAGGUCAUGAAAAUAUGUGACUUGCUGCUUCCAAGAUUAUUGCUGCACCCCCACCUGAAAAGAAGCCCUGCUGCUUUGCAGGGAUGAAGAGCAGGAGAAUUUAUUCACUGUGGCAGCAACGGAAGAAAAUGCUUUCUUCUCAUUCUGCUUCAUAUAAGAAAGUGAGAAAUGGAACAAUUACCGGAUGGAGGCCCAAAUACAGCCAUGGAGAAAGUCAGACCCACCAAGAUGCUCUGAGCCCCAGGUGCAACAAGUGCAUCACUUGCCAAAUUUGGACUGCUGUUGGCUCCGCAUGAGCUUCUGCGUCAAACACCACUGCUGGAGCCACAGGUACGGUGCUUAGGGAAAGAGCC
ensembl:lncRNA